ACAACAAAAAUAAAAAAGCUUGCUAACAACAACAAUAAAACUUGUGCAUACCUCAACAACAAAAACAAAAGAGGCAGGCCACGUAAGCUGAUUUUUUUGGAGAGGUAGAGAUCGCGGAGUCGAUCAGCUGUCGAGAACAAUAAAAACUGCCUAAGCAGUCGACCGACAGACAGGACACGCGUCCUCUACAGCGUCCAAAGCAAUCCGUUUAUGUUCGUGAGACUGUUUUAGUCAUCACACCGUGCACCGCGCGGCUAUGGGUAAAAACAAUAACAAAUGCCCAUGAGAAAAAUAAUCAUAAAGCACACACCUUCUAUGGCAUGGGGAGCUUCGUUCUCCCCUGUUGCUUUGACUUAAGCAACAUCAUCAUGCACCAU
rnacentral:sRNA from 1 species